CCCUUAGACGUUCUGGGCCGCACGCGCGCUACACUGACGAAGGCAACGAGCUUUCCUUUACCGAAAGGUACGGGUAAUCUUUUGAAACUUCGUCGUGCUGGGGAUAGAUCCUUGCAAUUUUUGAUCUUAAACGAGGAAUGCCUAGUAAGCGCAAGUCAUCAACUUGCGUUGAUUACGUCCCUGCCCUCUGUACACACCGCCCGUCGCUACUACCGAUUGAAUGGUUUAGUGAGGCCUUCGGAUCCGCGACUCGUUUGUGGAGAAGUUGGACAAACUCAGUCAUUUAGAGGAAGUAAAAGUCGUAACA
rnacentral:rRNA from 1 species